GAUGCAGAAACCAUUUGUGCCGCUAACAAGUGAUGGUAUUGAUGAAACAGUGGGGAAGGAGGAGAAGAACCUGAGCAAAGGUGAAAUAGCGGAGUCAAGAGUUGUUGGAAACUUUGAUUUGAACGAGCUCCAGACGCAUGAUGUUGAAACAGGCGUGUCAAGAGUUGUUCGAGACUUUGAUUUGAACGAGCUCCCGACUAAUGAUAUUGAAAAAGAAUGAGUGUAAUUGUGCCACUGCUUG
rnacentral:lncRNA from 1 species